GACGAACGCUGGCGGCGUGCCUAAUACAUGCAAGUAGAACGCUGAAGAGAGGAGCUUGCUCUUCUUGGAUGAGUUGCGAACGGGUGAGUAACGCGUAGGUAACCUGCCUUGUAGCGGGGGAUAACUAUUGGAAACGAUAGCUAAUACCGCAUAACAAUGGAUGACACAUGUCAUUUAUUUGAAAGGGGCAAUUGCUCCACUACAAUAUGGACCUGCGUUGUAUUAGCUAGUAGGUGAGGUAAUGGCUCACCUAGGCGACGAUACAUAGCCGACCUGGGAGGGGGAUGGGCCACACUGGGACGGGGACACGGCCCAGACUCAUACGGGAGGCAGCAGGAGGGAAUAUUCGGCAAUGGGGGCAACCCUGACCGAGCAAAGCCGCGUGAGUGAAGAAUGUUGUCGGAUCGUAAAGCGCUGUUGUAAGUCAAGAACGGGUGUGAGAGUGGAAAGUUCACACUGUGACGGUAGCUGACCAGAAAGGGACGGCUAACUACGUG
rnacentral:rRNA from 1 species